GGGGGCUAUUCCCAUUAGUUACAAAAAUUGCUUUGUUAAAAAUCUGUCCUUUAGGAUAGAAAGUGUUUCUCUGCCUUCUUCUUUCGGGAUCCGAAGGGAGUAACCAUAUGAAAUGAUGACCGGCAGACUCUGAUCAGUUUCCUGAUCAGAUGUCUUGGAUCACGCCCCCUAACGUGGAAAUACAGGUGAAUGUGCAAAAUGAGUGUGUAAAUACAGAUGCAUGAGGGCACGGGUGAAGGUGGAGAGUGAGGGGAGACACGCACUUACGUGGCGUCAGAACGAACACAGCUGUGUGCCAGAGGAAGUCAUCCAGAGGACGUGACCCCUGGCUGACCUGUGAGCUGGACCCAGAGGCUCCUCACCCCCACUCGCCCCUCCCACCCUUGAAGUGUGCAUUCUGGCCACACUGUUCCUGCACUAGGAACUACUUCAAGGAUGCCACCUUGAAAGAGCAAUGUGUUGGUGAGAUCCACUGGAUGGCACAUAUGACUGAACCCUGUUAAAACCUCUAUAAACUGUUAAGUUUCUGG